rnacentral:rRNA from 1 species
AGUCGAACGGAGAUAUUGAAAGUUUACUGGAAAUAUCUUAGUGGCGGAGGGGGCUAACACGUGAGCAACCUGCCUUUGAGAGAGGAAUAAUUUCCGGAAACGGAUUGUAAUACCUCAUGACAUAUAUUUGCCGCAUGACAGAUGUAUCAAAGGUUUUAUCACUCAAAGAUGGGCUCGCGUCUGAUUAGAUAGUUGGUGAGGUAACGGCUCACCAAGUCGACGAUCAGUAGCCGGACUGAGAGGUUGAACGGCCACAUUGGGACUGAGACACGGCCCAGACUCCUACGGGAGGCAGCAGUGGGGAAUAUUGCACAAUGGGGGAAACCCUGAUGCAGCGAUGCCGCGUGGAGGAAGAAGGUUUUCGGAUUGUAAACUCCUGUCGACAGGAAAGAAAAAGGACUGUACCUGUCAAGAAAGCUCCGGCUAACUACGUGCCAGCAGCCGCGGUAAUACGUAGGGAGCGAGCGUUGUCCGGAAUUACUGGGUGUAAAGGGAGCGUAGGCGGGACUGCAAGUCAGAUGUGAAAUUUACGGGCUUAACCUGUGAACUGCAUUUGAAACUGUAGUUCUUGAGUGAAGUAGAGGCAAGCGGAAUUCCUGGUGUAGCGGUGAAAUGCGUAGAUAUCAGGAGGAACACCGGUGGCGAAGGCGGCUUGCUGGGCUUUAACUGACGCUGAGGCUCGAAAGCGUGGGUAGCAAACAGGAUUAGAUACCCUGGUAGUCCACGCUGUAAACGAUGAUUACUAGGUGUGGGGGGACUGACCCCUUCCGUGCCGCAGUUAACACAAUAAGUAAUCCACCUGGGGAGUACGGCCGCAAGGUUGAAACUCAAAGGAAUUGACGGGGGCCCGCACAAGCAGUGGAGUAUGUGGUUUAAUUCGAAGCAACGCGAAGAACCUUACCGGGUCUUGACAUCGAGUGCAUAGCUAAGAGAUUAGUGAAAUCCCUUCGGGGACACUUAGACAGUGGUGCAUGGUUGUCGUCAGCUCGUGUCGUGAGAUGUUGGGUUAAGUCCCGCAACGAGCGCAACCCUUACCUUUAGUUGCUACGCAGAGCACUCUAAAGGGACUGCGUUGACAAACGGAGGAAGGUGGGGAUGACGUCAAUCAUCAUGCCCUUAUGACCCGGGC